AUUUUUGAGCCUUUUCCGUAUAUAUAUAAUUUAAUUUUCUACUAUGUAGAAAGGUGAAGAACCGGACGACCAUCUCAGCUAAAAGUAUUGUACAUUACGCAACAAAAGCUGAUUUGUUGUAAUAUUAAAUAAAGAGUUAGGGCAUUGUCGUCUUUCGGGAUGUGCUUCUUCUUCCAAAUCAACUGGGGUUGUUGAAUCUGCAAUUGAAAAUCGACCAACUUUAGUACAGCAACCUAAUUUAGUAGGGUAGAAGCAAUAAAUGGACGGAAGAAACAAUACUGAGACUCGUAUAAUAUAAUAAUUUCUCGGUUUUAAUGUCAUACGUGGAAUUGUUUGUUAGAGAGGAUGACCCGCUUUUAAAAAAAUUUAUUUUUUUUAAUUUAAAAAUUAUUUACAAGUUUUAAAUGUUAUAAAUUAGUCCACAAAUCAUCAAUUUUUUAAAUAUAAAUAAAACUCCUUUCACCAAAUCUUUUACGCAUUUUACAAAUUAGUCCAAAAUUAAUUUGUGAUGGACAGAUCUGUUAUCGAUCCAACCUAUAUAUGGACAAAUUGAUUAUUGAUCCGACCUAUAUAUGGAUAGAUCAAUUAUUGAUCCAAUCUAUACAUAGACAGAUCGAUUAUCAAUCCGACAGAUCAAUUAUCGAUUCGAUCUGUAUAUGAACACGCUCUUAACUUGAUUCUGAGAAUAUAAAAAAAGAUGUCAAAUUGUCAAGAGGACGCCUAGUUUGGAUAUUUAAAAUAAACAAGAAAUAAUUAAGAUGUCAAACUGAAAAUUUAAUUUGUACCAACACUUUAAGAGCCCGCCGAUAUAUUUGGCCAAAGAAAAAUUCGAAACAAUAUUGAGAAGGCUAAAAACAUGUUAGUAAGGCAAUUUUCACAUGGGAAAUAAAAGUCUUGGACCAUGGAGGAAACGUUGAUUAUCUUAGUAUUACUCGUAUCCAUCUUUAGUACUAGGGGUGGGCAUGGUAUGAUAUGGUACGGUAUUUGAAACUUUAAUACGAUAAUUUGGGUAUUCGGUUUUUAAAAACAUUAUACCAUUAUCAUACCAUAUUAAUUCGGUAUGAUUCGAUAUUUUGACGUUUAGUUUCGAUAUUUUGUGGUAUGGUAAUCGGUAAUCAUAGUUUGUACAACUUCGAUAAUAUAUACUCGUAUACUAAAGUAUUAUUACUUCGACUUUUCAAAAACAUAUCUUAAUUAUAUCACAAAUAUACAUUACACAUGUAGAAAUAUUGAAACAGAAGUACAAACAAUUCUUUUUGUUAGUCAAUUACACAAAAAAAGACAUUUCAAUCAAGAUAAAGUAGCGAAAGUUUCAAUGUCUAUACUUCGGUAUGGUAUUCGGUAUUUCGGUAUGUCAUUUGUAAAUACCGAAUACCAUACCAUAUACCAAAAAAAAAUGUAUACCAUAUACCAUAUCAAAUACCAUAAUAUCAAAACCACGGUAUCAAAAUUUUGGUUCAGUAUGGUAAUUUGGUAUAUACCAUACCAUUCCCACCCCUAUUUAGUACACUCUUACAGAUCAUUUGGUAGAGUGUAUAGGAAUAAUAAAUAAGGUCAUUAAUAAUGUUUGCAUUACUAAAGCAAGUAUUAGUAAUGCUGGAAUUAGUUUUCUGUUUCUAUACACUGUUUGAUUUGAUGUAUUAAAAUUAAUAUUUACUUAGAUAAUUUUUAUAAAAGGAUGUUUGUUUAUCAAAAUAUCCUUCUUUUAUUAAAAGCUUUCGCAUAAAUCUCUUGGCAAUUAGAAAUGACAACAUCCACUUACAAAUUCACUUUUCGUAGAUGAACCGCAUCUUUAAUUCUGCAUCUUUAUUCUCCAAAGCUCCUCCUCCUCUCCGAAAAAAAUUCUCAAAUUUUGGUGCGAAUAGGAGAAGUUUAGGAAGUGAUGUUAUUGAAGAGAGGGGACAGACUAUUAUGAGAGGUUUCGGAGUUAAAAAUUUUAAAAGCAACAAUUGUUUUGCUAAAUGGCAGGAAGAAGAGAGGCGGAGAAAUCAAUAUUGUUUUUUCAUAGCAAAGUGCAGAGAAGAGAAGAGAGGAAAAAUGAUUAGAGGGGUAAUUUUAUAAUUCACCAAGUUAAUGCAUGUGUUGAAACCUUUGUAUAACUAAUAUACGAAAAAUGGAUGAUAUUACUA
rnacentral:lncRNA from 1 species